ensembl:misc_RNA 7SK 7SK RNA
AGAUAUGAGGGCGAUCUGGCUGUGACAUGUCAUCCCACUACCAACAGGGUUGAUUCAGGUGUCCCCUUCCUCCCUUACCAUUCCAUAUGUGUCCUUUCCAAAGUUGCACACUCAGUCAAAGAGGAAGACCAGCCCUGAUAGAGGAGGACCAUUUCCUUGGUCAAGGAUAUAUGAGUAGCCGUGCUCCCCUGCAAGAAUCUCCAAACAAGCUAUCAAAUAAACACCCUGAUGUUGAGCCGCAAGCUUCUAGAAAAAGCAAAGCAAGUCAACAAGCUUGUGUGAGAAAGGAAAUUAUAAAGAUCAGGGCAGAAAUUUAUACAAU